rnacentral:rRNA from 1 species
AAAUCUGACAGAGGAUCAUAGAGGAAUCACAUGGGAAGGUGAGCGAGAGAGGGUGAGAGCCCCGUACUCGAAAUGAGAGACUGGAGAGAGAUGACACCUGAGUAGGGCGGGACACGAGAAAUCCUGUCUGAAUCAGCCGGGACCAUCCGGCAAGGCUAAAUACGAGAGAGUGACCGAUAGUGAACCAGUACCGUGAGGGAAAGGUGAAAAGAACCCCGGGAGGGGAGUGAAAGAGAACCUGAAACCAUAUGCUUACAAGAAGUUAGAGCCCGUUAAAGGGUGAUAGCGUGCCUUUUGUAGAAUGAACCGGCGAGUUACGAUAUGGAGCGAGGUUAAGCAGGAUAUGCGGAGCCGAAGCGAAAGCGAGUCUUAACAGGGCGCAAGUUGCAUGUCGUAGACCCGAAACCGAGUGAUCUAGCCAUGACCAGGUUGAAGUUGGGGUAAAACCCGAUGGAGGACCGAACCGACCCCCUUUGAAACGUUGGCGGAUGAGUUGUGGCUAGGGGUGAAAUUCCAAUCGAACCCGGAGAUAGCUGGUUCUCCCCGAAAUAGCUUUAGGGCUAGCGUCGAGGUAAGUUGCGUGAAGGUAGAGCACUGAAUAUGUGAUGGCCCCAUCUCGGGGUACUGAGCAUAAUCAAACUGCGAAUGUCACGAUAACAUGCUCGGCAGUCAGACAGCGGGUGAUAAGGUCCGUUGUCAAGAGGGAAACAGCCCAGACCAUCAGCUAAGGUCCCAAAAUGUAUGCUAAGUGGAAAAGGAUGUGGAGAUGUACAGACAACUAGGAGGUUGGCUCAGAAGCAGCCAUCCUUUAAAGAGUGCGUAACAGCUCACUAGUCGAAUGACUCUGCGCCGAUAAUUUACCGGGGCUAAGCAUACUACCGAAGCUAUGGAUCCCAAGGGAUGGUAGGGGAGCGUUCCAUGAACGGAGAAGUACGACCGAAAGGACGUGUGGAGAUCAUGGAAGAGAGAAUGCCGGUGUGAGUAGCGGAACGUGGGUGAGAAUCCCACGCACCGAAAACCCAAGGUUUCCAGAGGAAGGUUCGUCCGCUCUGGGUAAGUCGGGACCUAAGGCGAGGCCGAAAGGCGUAGUCGAUGGACAACAGGUAGAGAUUCCUGUACCCGUAUAUAUGUGAAGGAAUGACGGAGAGAGGAAGCUGCAGCCAGCGGCUGGAAGAGCUGGUGCAAGCGAGAUAUCGGGAUGGCAGGCAAAUCCACCAUCCGAAACGAGAAGGCGUGAAGCGUACGGAAAGCUACGGCGAGUACGGAAGGCAGUGGAGGAACUUCCAAGAAAAGUUUCUAACGUUAAGUAUAUAUGGCCCGUACCGAAAAUGGACACACAUGGGUGAGGAGAGAAUCCUAAGGUGAGCGAGAGAACUAUAGCUAAGGAACUCUGCAAAAUGACUCCGUAACUUAGGGAGAAGGAGUGCUCAUAGAGAUAUGAGCCGCAGUGAAACGGCCCAAGCGACUGUUUACCAAAAACACAGCUCUCUGCUAAGCCGCAAGGCGAAGUAUAGGGGGUGACGCCUGCCCGGUGCUGGAAGGUUAAGGGGAGGGGUUAACGCAAGUGAAGCCCUGAACUGAAGCCCCAGUAAACGGCGGCCGUAACAAUAACGGUCCUAAGGUAGCGAAAUUCCUUGUCAGGUAAGUUCUGACCCGCACGAA